CUACUUAGUCCGUCACCACUGACAGUUGUUGUCGGUGUAAAAAAAAUAUGCCAACUACAGCAUAAGCAUACCUGUGAAAUGCCAAGAGCAACAAAAGGGGUAAAAAUAUAAAAACCAUAUGUUUCCACAAGAUAGCUCUCUUUUGCUGACUGAUCCUCAACCGGAGUGCAGUGCGCGCGUGAUUAAUUAGUAUUACCGUAUAGUGAGGUUAAACAAUAUCACCUCGUGGUGAAGUCCACUAUCAUUUUAGUGUUGUUUCUUUUGUGAAUCGUAGAGGUUAAAAGUUCAAUUACCUACGGUUAGUAGUGUGGCGGUAAAAGUGUAAGCAGAACCAUAAUUUGCCAAAUUUAUUGUAAAUUGUAGGUUACCGUAAUUUCGACACUCAAAUACGCUUUGUAUAAUUGUGAAAUAUUGUAUUAAGGAAAAGGUCCCAGAUAGGACCUUUUUCUUUUGGUGUUUUUCCCAGUGUUGAGCAGCUCAUCAGAGGUUCUCCAAGUGAAGGAAGCACAUGUAGAAUUGGAUCCAUCUUAUUGUGCGAAGCCAUCCCGCUGCCGAUUGGAAGGCCCGCGGCCGCCAUUGCUCCAUCUACACCGGCGAAACCGUUCAUAGAGUCUGCCACGCGGUGGGAAAAUCUCCAUUAUGGAUUUGGAAUCUUUUGUUUGGCAUACGUCGGCAUUCAACGAUUGUGCUUUUGUUCGUCAGCCGCCGACAUCCAAUCCUCACCUUAGUUCGGCACCUCAAUCACGCUUCUCUCCGGCUUCUGGCUGGCACCGCUCCAUUACCUCUGGAAGUCUCUCGACUGGCAUCAUCAUCAUCACCUCUGUUCGGCUUCCCGCCGACAUCCCACCAUCUCUUCUGUCUGGCAGUCCGCUGAUACUACAACCGGCUAGUGGCUGGCAAUUGACCAUCGUCUCCGUUCGGCAUCCGCCGACUCUACAACACCACUUCAGUUCAGCCCAGCCGGCAAUACACCAACACUACUGUCCAGCAUCCGCUGGCAUCCAAGCAUUGCUUCAGUUCGGCUCCAAGCCGACAUCCGACCAAGCCUUCGACCCGUUUCUCUACUGGCAUUCAACCAUCAAGUGCCAAUGGGAGGCACUAUAACAGCACGAUAGGUGCCAAAGCCACCCCAUGACCGGUCCGCCUGCCAACGCUACCACCCACCCAGCAUGCAUGCAAGUAUGAACCCUAAACUGUGACGUCAUUAGAAUAAAUACCUGUAAAAUGAA